UAGUCCCUAGCUCCUGGAUAUCAUCUCUGGACCUACCUGGGGCCUAAGGCAACUCACCACCCUAAAGGGAAGAAAACAAGCACGACUGUCCUUACCACCUGCUGACUGAAGAACCCUAGGGCCUUGAGCAAACAAUCCCUCUGCCUCUACCGUAAGAGCACUAAUGUGGAAGGCCGAAAAUUUGAAUGCUGUUGCUGCUCCUGAGUAUAAAACCACUUUAUGGGCUGGUCGCAGUGGCUCACGCCUGUAAUCCCAGCACUUUGGGAGGCCGAGGAGGGCAGAUCACCUGAGGUCGGGAGUUCAAGACCAGCCUGACCAACAUGGAGAAACCCCAUCUCUACUAAAAAUACAAACUUAUGCCAGGCAUAGUGGUGCACACCUGUAAUCCCAGCUACUCAGGAGGCUGACGCAGGAGAAUCGCUUGAACCCGGAGGAAGAGUUUGCGGUGAGCUGAGAUCACGCCAUUGCACUCCAGCCUUGGCAACAGGAGCGAAACUCCUUCUAAAACAAACAAACAAACAAACAAACAACAAAAAAAAAACACUUUACUUGUGUCAUGAUCUAAGACAGUAAAAUAUAAGAAUGCUUUAUUUACCACCCUCUCGACAUGACUCAGGUCAUAAUGUUUUUGGAGAUUGUAUCUGAUUGAUUGAUUCAUUCAUUAAUUUGUCCCAUCUUACAAUACCUACCAUGUACUUUAUUACUAUUCAAGGUGUUAGAUAUACAGCAGUGAACAAAACAAAUUCCUUCUUUGUAGAGGCAGGCAAUAAACAAAUUUUACUAUGUAAAAUUCUUUAUGUAGUAGGCCAUGUGGUAAUAAAUGAUUUUAAGAAAAUUAGGAUAAGGGGGAAAGCAGUGUUAGAAAAGGACAAAUUAUUAUUCUAUAUACCUCUAUCAAACAAAACCUCAAUGAUGUAUGGUAAUUAUGGUAACAUUUGAGAAGAAACCUGAAAGAAGCAAGGAAGCAAGCCAUAAAGAUAUCUGGGAAAAUAAUAUUUUAGGAAGAAAAAAGAAUGCUUUUAAAGUCUCUAAGGCAGGAAUGCGCUUGGUAUGUUCAAGAAUCAGCAAAUAAGUCCAGUGGAGGAGGGGCAAAGUCAACAAAAGAGUGAGUGGAAGAUUAUGAGGUUAGAGUGGUCCUGAGUAGUCUGGAUUGGGUGGUGCUUUUUAAAUCAUUCUAAGAACUUCAGCUGCCUUUCUGCAUGAAAUACAAAAACAUUAAGAGGCUCCAAGGGAAAUAGUGACAGAUUUGACUGACAUUUUGAAUAAUUUCAUUCUAACUGCUCUUUGGAAAAUAAACUAUUUGGGUCAGCAAAGAAAUAGAAAAAUGAGUAAAGAGGCUAUAGUAAUCCAGUCAAGAAGUUACGAUUCAUUGGACCAGGAUAGUGACAACAAAAGUAGAAAGUUGCAGUUUCUGAAUGUAUUUUGAAGAUGGAGCCUAUAGGGUUUGUUGUCAGAUGUAAGAGAAAGUUAUAACUCAAGAAUGAUAUCAAUACUUUUAGCCUGACAAACUAAAAAGAUAAAAUUGUCACUAACUGAGAUGAUGAAGACGGAAAGUAGAGCAUGUUUAGAGUAAAG
rnacentral:lncRNA from 10 species